rnacentral:lncRNA from 1 species
CUCUCCCGUUGUAGGAGAAAGGCAACAAAAAAUAAAAACGGCACAGAUGACUUCAUUCUCGGGAAGGCUCGGUCCUACAUGGACCAAUUUCCUGGGGACCGUGGUGGAACAGCUUCGCUGCCGUUGGAAGCACUUAAAACUGAACCAGAUAAAGACCAGGACAUUCUGGGCCCUGCUGAACCAAGCCAGGGCAGGCUGCGGGGCGUGUGAUUUCUGGCCAGCUCCCCACUCUUGGACAUUAUCAGCUCAAUGCAAACAGUUGCUGCUCUGGACAGGGAAGCCAGAGGAAAAAGGCCUCUGCAGUACACGCCAUAACAUGGAUUAAAAAAAAAAUAAAUUGGCCAGGCGCAGCCUGCCUGUAAUCCAGCAAUUUGGGAGGCUGAGGCAGGAGGAUCACUUGAGGCCUGGAGUUCGAAACCAGCGUGGUCAACACGGUGAAACCCAGUCUCUACUGAAAAUACAAAAAUUAGGCGUGGUGGCACACACCUGUAAUUCCAGCUACGGGAGGCUGAGGCAUGAGAAUCAUUUGAACCUGGGAGGCAGAGGUUGCAGUGAGCCGAGAUCGUGCCACUGCACUCCAGCCUGAGUGACAGAACAAGACUCUGUCUCAAAAAAUAAA